rnacentral:rRNA from 1 species
AUUGAACGCUGGCGGCAGGCCUAACACAUGCAAGUCGAACGAGUGGCGGACGGGUGAGUAAUGUCUGGGAAACUGCCCGAUGGAGGGGGAUAACUACUGGAAACGGUAGCUAAUACCGCAUACCAUCGGAUGUGCCCAGAUGGGAUUAGCUUGUAGGUGAGGUAACGGCUCACCUAGGCGACGAUCCCUAGCUGGUCUGAGAGGAUGACCAGCCACAAUGGACCUGAGACACGGUCCAGACUCCUACGGGAGGCAGCAGUGGGGAAUAUUGCGCAAUGGGCGGGAGCCUGAUUCAGCCAUGCCGCGGGUGUGAAGAAGGCCUUCGGGUUGGAAAGUACUUUUAGCUGGGAGGCGGUACCCGCAGAAGAAGCACCGGCUAACUCCGUGCCAGCAGCCGCGUUAAUAC